rnacentral:rRNA from 1 species
CAUCGUGAAUUAAUUUUAUUUAAUUAUAAUUUAUAAAUAUUAAUUUCGUAUAUAUAUAUAUAUAUAAGCAAAAUAAUAAAACAUAUACUCAUAUAAAUGUCUUUAUAUUUAAUAUAAAUUAUAUAUAUAUAAACAUAACAAGGCCUAUCAUAUUAAAUUUUUAUAUAUAAUA